UGCAGGCUAGCGAGGACCGACUUCGGGUUGACGGCAGCGGGGAGGGAGUCCUUGAUGGUGUUGACGGCGUUACGCAUCAGCUCGCGUGCGUACUGCUAGCGUCGACACCUUUCUUCGCCCAACCGCCAACGCCGUCGAUCCUUGGAUUGCAUGACCACGAUGGAUUGUGAAUGGAGACAACGGCCUCGGCGCGGAAGGCUCCACUAUUGGAGGCGUUGAAGCCAUCAAUGGCAGUGUUGCGAACGAGGUGGCGCCACAUGAAGAUGAGGAUUAUGUAUAAAUUCUUUGGCAAGUAAAGAUUUCUUUAGAGUUUUGGGACUUACUUAUGCUCGCAGCUUGUGGUCAAUGACUCAAGCUAGAAGGGUGAUGUGUUUGCUGCUUGGAGCACGUUUAUGAACUUUGUUUAAUAAUUUGUUUAAACAAUCAGUAGAAAGACCUUAGUUCUUGAGUAAUAGAGAAUAUGACUAUGUUAUGUCCGGAUAAGGACAAAAAUCGAGAUGCACAUAGGUUUUGGAUGCAUAAUGCAUAAGUGGCCAAACAUGGCGUUCAUACCAAACUUCAUCCGCAGUAUUAUUUUGAGUAUACAUUAAACUUAUAUCA